GAUCCUGGCUCAGAUUGAACGCUGGCGGCAGGCUUAACACAUGCAAGUCGAACGGUAACAUAAAGAAGCUUGCUUCUUUGAUGACGAGUGGCGGACGGGUGAGUAAUGCUUGGGAAUCUGGCUUAUGGAGGGGGAUAACUACGGGAAACUGUAGCUAAUACCGCGUAAUAUCGAAAGAUUAAAGUGUGGGACCUUCGGGCCACAUGCCAUAGGAUGAGCCCAAGUGGGAUUAGGUAGUUGGUGAGGUAAGGG
rnacentral:rRNA from 1 species